rnacentral:rRNA from 1 species
UACGGAAUGUGCAAACGUUUAUUCGGAAUCACUGGGCUUAAAGAGUCCGUAGGCGGCUUGUUAGGUGAGGUGUGAAAUCCCUCGGCCCAACCGAGGAAUUGCGCUUCAAACCGGCAAGCUAGAGGAGGGAUAGAGGUGGGCGGAACUGAGUGGUGGAGCGGUGAAAUGCGUUGAUAUCAGUCAGGAACGACCGGAGGCGAAGGGCGGUCCACUGGGUCCUUUCUGACGCUGAGGGACGAAAGCGUAGGGGAGCGAAGCGGG